CCUACGGGGGGCUGCAGUGGGGAAUAUUGCACAAUGGGGGAAACCCUGAUGCAGCGACGCCGCGUGAGUGAAGAAGUAUUUCGGUACGUAAAGCUCUAUCAGCAGGGAAGAAAAUGACGGUACCUGACUAAGAAGCCCCGGCUAACUACGUGCCAGCAGCCGCGGUAAUACGUAGGGGGCAAGCGUUAUCCGGAUUUCUUGGUGGUAAAGGGAGCGUAGACGGCAGCGCAAGUCUGGAGUGAAAUCCCAUGGCUUAACCAUGGAACUGCUUUGGAAACUGUGCAGCUAGAGUGCAGGAGAGGUAAGCGGAAUUCCUAGUGUAGCGGUGAAAUGCGUAGAUAUUAGGAGGAACACCAGUGGCGAAGGCGGCUUACUGGACUGUAACUGACGUUGAGGCUCGAAAGCGUGGGGAGCAAACAGGAUUAGAUACCCCUGUAGUC
rnacentral:rRNA from 1 species